rnacentral:rRNA from 1 species
CUACGGGCUGCUGCAGUCGAGAAUCAUCCGCAAUGGGCGAAAGCCUGACGGUGCAAUGCCGCGUGGGGGAUGAAGGCCCUCGGGUCGUAAACCCCUGUCAGGAGGGACGAAGAAGUGACGGUACCUCCAGAGGAAGCCACGGCUAACUACGUGCCAGCAGCCGCGGUAAUACGUAGGUGGCGAGCGUUAUUCGGAUUUACUGGGCGUAAAGGGUCCGCAGGGGGUUUGCCAAGUCUGGUGUGAAAUCUCACAGCUCAACUGUGAAACUGCGCUGGAUACUGGUGAACUAGAGUGCGCGAGGGGUGAGUGGAAUUCCUGGAGUAGCGGUGGAAUGCGUAGAUAUCAGGAAGAACACCAACGGCGAAGGCAGCUCACUGGCGCGCAACUGACCCUCAUGGACGAAAGCGUGGGUAGCAAACAGGAUUAGAUACCCUCGUAGUC